AGAGUUUGAUCCUGGCUCAGAUUGAACGCUGGCGGUAUGCUUUACACAUGCAAGUCGAACGGCAGCAUAGGUGCUUGCACCUGAUGGCGAGUGGCGAACGGGUGAGUAAUGCAUCGGAACGUGCCCAGUCGUGGGGGAUAACGCAGCGAAAGCUGUGCUAAUACCGCAUACGAUCUAUGGAUGAAAGCGGGGGACCUUCGGGCCUCGCGCGAUUGGAGCGGCCGAUGUUAGAUUAGGUAGUUGGUGAGGUAAAGGCUCACCAAGCCUACGAUCUAUAGCUGGUCUGAGAGGACGACCAGCCACACUGGAACUGAGACACGGUCCAGACUCCUACGGGAGGCAGCAGUGGGGAAUUUUGGACAAUGGGCGAAAGCCUGAUCCAGCAAUACCGCGUGCAGGAAGAAGGCCUUCGGGUUGUAAACUGCUUUUGUACGGAACGAAACGGUCUGGAUUAAUACUCUGGGCUAAUGACGGUACCGUAAGAAUAAGCACCGGCUAACUACGUGCCAGCAGCCGCGGUAAUACGUAGGGUGCAAGCGUUAAUCGGAAUUACUGGGCGUAAAGCGUGCGCAGGCGGUUUUGUAAGACAGGCGUGAAAUCCCCGGGCUCAACCUGGGAAUUGCGCUUGUGACUGCAAGGCUAGAGUACGGUAGAGGGGGGUAGAAUUCCGCGUGUAGCAGUGAAAUGCGU
rnacentral:rRNA from 1 species